CCUACGGGGGGCAGCAGUGGGGAAUAUUGCGCAAUGGGCGAAAGCCUGACGCAGCGACGCCGCGUGAGGGAUGAAGGUCUUCGGAUCGUAAACCUCUGUCAGCAGGGAAGAACGGUCACUGUGCUAAUCAGCAGUGAAUUGACGGUACCUGCAAAGGAAGCACCGGCUAACUCCGUGCCAGCAGCCGCGGUAAUACGGAGGGUGCGAGCGAUAAUCGGAAUUACUGGGCGUAAAGCGCUCGUAGGCGGUAUGUCAAGUCAAGGGGGAAAUCCCCGCGCUCAACGUGGGAACUGCCUUUGAAACUGGCAAACUGGAGUGUGUGAGAGGAUAGUGGAAUUCCAGGUGUAGGAGUGAAAUCCGUAGAUAUCUGGAGGAACAUCAGUGGCGAAGGCGACUAUCUGGCACAUAACUGACGCUGAGGAGCGAAAGCGUGGGUAGCAAACAGGAUUAGAUACCCCGGUAGUC
rnacentral:rRNA from 1 species